rnacentral:misc_RNA from 1 species
GUGAAGAACUGAAAUUGAAAAUAAUGGAGACAAGUCAUAAAGGGGAACUUCUAGAAAUUGAAAAUUGUAACCUGGCAAAAGCAUUACAGUUGGCAGAAGAUGAGUUGAAGACUGUUAAAGGUAUGAUGCAUCAGCUCAAUUUUCAAGUAGUUGCUAGCAAAAAUCUGAUGUCUGAAAAGGACGCUGAGCUUCAAAGAAUGGAACAGAAGCUUUAUCUUAGUGAAACUGAGAAAGCUGUGUUGCA